UACGGAGGGUGCGAGCGUUGUCCGGAAUCACUGGGCUUAAAGGGCGCGUAGGCGGAUGGCACAGUCAGAUGUGAAAUUCCCGGGCUUAACCUGGGGGCUGCAUUUGAUACGUGUUGUCUUGAGUUCGGAAGAGGGUCGUGGAAUUCCCAGUGUAGAGGUGAAAUUCGUAGAUAUUGGGAAGAACACCGGUGGCGAAGGCGGCGACCUGGUCCGACACUGACGCUGAGGCGCGAAAGCGUGGGGAGCAAACAGG
rnacentral:rRNA from 1 species